AUUCAAUAAAAUUAGCUACGUUUUUAACUGUUGCUUAAUUGCGGGAGUUCACUGUUAUGGGUCGUUAGCUAAAGUUUAGGAACUUUGUGAAGUUGUGGGAAUGCCCACGAACUGUUUGCUUUAUGUUAUAUAAAUAAGCUUGAGUCCAUUAGCUGAAGUUUAUUUCUCUUACCUCUGCAGUUCUAUUAACAUAAGGAUCCGUAGAGAGUUGAAGAGUGAGAUAGAAAAUGGAUGAAUUUUCUGGUUAUGGUGGUGAGUUUGUGAGGUUCAUAAACGUCUGGAGUACAGCUUUUCUGUCAUUAAUUUACUGUUAUUAGAUCGCUCGAAAUAUUCCGAAAGGAUUUCCAAGACUUUUAUCUGUCUUACCAAUUGUAUACAUUUUUAGCCUUCUUCCUCUCAAUCUCACUUCUAUUCAUCUUAUUUUGGGAGCUGGGUAUUCCAUAAGUUGGCUUGCUAACUUCAAACUUCUUCUGUUCUGUUUUGAUGCGGGUCCUCUUUCAUCGAAUCCAUUACAGUUGUACCAUCACUAACGUCGUCCAUUACCCUUCUCCCUUUUCUUGCCAUCACUUGUCUACCAAUCAAGCUUAAAAAAUCGAAUCCCUCUUCGUCUCCGUCUCCGUCUUCAUCAUCAUCAUCAUCGAGUCUUCAUAUACAUGGACUGACUUGUUAUGUAAUGGAAGGUUUUUUCCUAGGCUUAAUACUUAUCUAUGGGUAUAGCGAACAGUAUCAUCACAAACAAAAAUUACUAAACUUUAUGAUCAUCAACUUUUCGCAUUUCUUUCAUAUAGGUAUAAUAGUCGAGUUACCUCUCGUCAUAUAUGCUUCCGCAGCAAGGCUUCUGCUCGACCUAGAGGUUGAACCACCAUUUGGGAACCUUUUGGUGUUAUCAUCUUCAUUUCAUGAGUUUUGGGGGAGGAAAUGGAACAAAGUUACUUCAAGUCUUUUACGACCGCUCGUAUAAGAACCUGUACGACGUAUUACUAAACAAGGGGGUUGGUACGUCUGUUGAGAUUUAGUGGAAGAGGUCUUUGAAUGGGAAGUGACAGUUCAAUCGGUUGGCUUCGCAACUUAUCCUUCCUAUAAGUUUUAUAUCGUUAUUUUUUUACUUGAUACACCCUUCGCUUGAGAAGGUUAGGGUUCACCUCAUGGUAGGUGAGGAGAUUGCUAAUCUCACCAAGCUUCUUAAGGAUGUACUAGCGAGCUGAAUUCUCGUGCUGAUUACAUGGCGUUUGCUGGCCAUUCAUCUAUCAACAAUAUCCUUUCCUGUUACACAACUAAUAGACGUUUUCGUCAAGUGAAGUCCUUGGUUAUUAUUGAUAUA